GAUGAAGAACGUAGCGAAAUGCGAUACGUAGUGUGGAUUGCAGAAUUCAGUGAAUCAUCGAAUCUUUGAACGCACAUUGCACCUCUCGGUAUUCCGGGAGGUAUGCCUGUUCGAGCGUCAUUUGUACCCUCAAGCUCUGCUUGGUGUUGGGUGUUUGUUCCGCCUCUGUGUGUGAACUCGCCUCAAAACAAUUGGCAGCCGGCGUACUUGUUUCGGAGCGCAGCACAUUUUGCGAUCCAGAUCAACGUACAGCGGCAUCCAAGAAGCCUUAUUUAACGCUCUUGACCUCGGAUCAGGUAGGGAUACCCGCUGAACUUAAGCAUAUCAAUAAGCGGAGGA
rnacentral:misc_RNA from 1 species